UCCGUAGGCGGGCAAUUAAGUCAGAGGUGAAAUCCCACAGCUCAACUGUGGAACUGCCUUUGAUACUGGUUGUCUUGAGUUACAGUGAAGUAGAUAGAAUGUGUAGUGUAGCGGUGAAAUGCAUAGAUAUUACACAGAAUACCGAUUGCGAAGGCAGUCUACUAACUAACAACUGACGCUAAUGGACGAAAGCGUGGGGAGCGAACAGGAUUAGAUACCCUGGUAGUCC
rnacentral:rRNA from 1 species